GGACKUCCCCUUCGGGGGCAGAGUGACAGGUGGUGCAUGGUUGUCGUCASCUCKUGUCGUGAGAUGUUGGGUUAAGUCCCGCAACGAGCGCAACCCUUGAUCUUAGUUGCCAGCAUUCAGUUGGGCACUCUAAGGUGACUGCCGGUGACAAACCGGAGGAAGGUGGGGAUGACGUCAAAUCAUCAUGCCCCUUAUGACCUGGGCUACACACGUGCUACAAUGGACAGAACAAAGGGCAGCGAAACCGCGAGGUUAAGCCAAUCCCACAAAUCUGUUCUCAGUUCGGAUCGCAGUCUGCAACUCGACUGCGUGAAGCUGGAAUCGCUAGUAAUCGCGGAUCAGCAUGCCGCGGUGAAUACGUUCCCGGGUCUUGUACACAC
rnacentral:rRNA from 1 species